rnacentral:rRNA from 1 species
GCCUUAGCUAUAAAUUAAACAAUCAAACAACUAAUUGUUCGCCAAAUAACUACGAGUGAAAACUUAAAAUUUAAAAGACUUGACGGUACUUCACACCAACCUAGAGGAGCCUGUCUAACAACCGAUAAUCCACGAUUAACCCAACCACCCCUAGCCUAACAGUCUAUAUACCGCCGUCGCCAGCCUACCUUGUGAAAGUAAUAAAGUAGGCACAACAGUACUUACACUAAUACGACAGGUCGAGGUGUAACUAAUGAGGUGGACAAGAUGGGCUACAUUUUCUACUACAGAACAAACGAAUAGACCAUGAAACUGGAAACUGAAGGAGGAUUUAGCAGUAAGACGAGAAUAAAAUACUCAACUGAAAUAUGCAAUGAAGUGCGU